rnacentral:rRNA from 1 species
AACGAACGCUGGCGGCAGGCCUAACACAUGCAAGUCGAGCGAGGACUUCGGUCCUAGCGGCGGACGGGUGAGUAACGCGUGGGAACGUGCCCUUUGCUUCGGAAUAGCCCUGGGAAACUGGGAGUAAUACCGGAUGAGCCCUUUGGGGGAAAGAUUUAUCGGCGAAGGAUCGGCCCGCGUUGGAUUAGGUAGUUGGUGGGGUAAUGGCCUACCAAGCCGACGAUCCAUAGCUGGUUUGAGAGGAUGAUCAGCCACACUGGGACUGAGACACGGCCCAGACUCCUACGGGAGGCAGCAGUGGGGAAUCUUAGACAAUGGGGGAAACCCUGAUCUAGCCAGGCCGCGUGAGCGAUGAAGGCCUUAGGGUUGUAAAGCUCUUUCAGCUGGGAAGAUAAGGACGGUACCAGCAGAAGAAGCCCCGGCGAACUCCGU